rnacentral:rRNA from 1 species
AAUAUUGGACAAUGGCCGGAAGGCUGAUCCAGCCAUGCCGCGUGCGGGAAGACGGCCNNNUGGGUNGAAAACCGCUUUUGUUGNGGGNCAAUAAGGUCCACGCGUGGAUUGAUGAGAGUACCCAGCGAAUAAGCAUCGGCUAACUCCGUGCCAGCAGCCGCGGUAAUACGGAGGAUGCAAGCGUUAUCCGGAUUUAUUGGGUUUAAAGGGUGCGUAGGCGGAUGCUUAAGCGUGAGGUGAAAUGCCCGGGCUCAACCUGGGAACUGCCUCGCGAACUGGGUAUCUGGAAUGUCCGUGCCGUGGGAGGAAUGUGUGGUGUAGCGGUGAAAUGCAUAGAGAUCACACAGAACACCGAUUGCGAAGGCAUCUCACGAACGGAUGAUUGACGCUGAGGCACGAAAGCGUGGGGAUCAAAC